UUACAAUCAUGGAAAAACAGG
rnacentral:siRNA from 1 species